AACGGAGUAGCUCAGUUGGUUAGAGCAUCGGAAUCAUAAUCCGAGUAUCGGGGGUUCAAAUCCCUCCUCCGCUA
rnacentral:tRNA from 1 species